CCGCAUGGUGUUGAGUUUCUUGACCGAAAACGAGAAACACAUACACACAACAAGAGAUCGCCUUUGAGCUCACAGGCUCAGUUGGCGGUCCGGCGAUGGAGCAGGACCCUACCUCUGUGUGCCGCAUAUGCCAGGCAGACGAUGCGCCGAUCAUUCGCCCGUGCCAGUGCGAGGGCACCAUGGCGUAUGCGCACCCAUAUUGCCUCGCGGAAUGGAUCGCGUCGCGUGGGGAGCUGUCGUGUGAGGUGUGUGGCACAGCCUACACGCUUCAGGUGGCUAUAGAGGACGUGCCACCCCUCACAUCUCUGAGAGGCUUGCAGCUGGCCGCAAACCUCCUUGUGGCACGGCCGUUGCGUCGUCUGUGCGGGUCGCUGUCCACACCGCUCCAGGUGCUUGUGUGCUGUCUUGUUGUGCUAUUUGCCAGCACGAUGAUGUGGCACAGUUGCUUGACUCACGUGAUGCUCCGCCACAGGGCCCCCGCGGGGUUGCCGGUACUUGGGGGGCUCUUCUACGUGCUUGGUGCCUUAAUCACCGCGGUACCCGUCGCGCUGCUCUGGGUCUUUGAGCAGUUUCGAGUUUGGGUGUUUCUGCACGAGGACUACGUCGUCGGCCUCCCACCGGAGACGCCGAUGCAGCCACCGGCGAACGCCGUCCAAGACGACGCGGCCACAUCCGCUCUGAACGAGGCAUUCACGCGCUGCAAUGCAGAGUCGCAGAGCGCAUCGCGCAGCCGCUACCUCUCCGCGACGGAGGCGCAGAUCAGCAAAGACGCCACGCUGCAGCUUCUGAAGGCAAAAGUGCGCGCCAGCCGAGGUCCCGCUCAGCGGCUCAGCUCGUGGAACUUCGGCCCUGCUCGGUACGCUGCGAAGGUGCUGUUCGUGCACAUGAUGGGCGUCAGUGCCGUUGUCCUUGGCCACGUCACCCUGAGCACCCUCGAGUCGCUUUGCCACGGCGCCGCUGUAUUGUGUCGCCGCCUGCUUCCGCCCGCGUACCCCUCGCUGCACCUUCACGCGGCCACAGCCGUAACGUCCGCCGUAGUGCCGCCGUACGUGUACUGGGUCGCCGCCUCCGUGGUGGGGCUGAUGGAGUGGCCGCUUAUCCUGCGCGCUGCGGCGCGCUGCCGAAGGGUCGCUGAUGGACGGCUGUCCCGCUCCCUCUUCCUGAGCAGCCUCUUCACCCGUAGCGCCGCCUCGCUUCUUGCGCUUUUCCUGGCGUGGGCCAUCAUCAUUCCUGUCAUCGUGUAUGCGUGUCUUUUCCCUUUUUUUGUGGAGGGCGACCUCGCCGUUCUGAUGGAGCGCCGCGACGCGUGGCAGGUCCUUCGUACCGAGCACCUCCUUCCGCUCCGCUGCGAUAGCGCGACACGCGCCUCCGCAUUUGCUGUGAAGCCACUCGUGCAGCCGAUCAACGUGGCACGCGCACUUUUCACUGUCCUCCCUGAUGUUUGGCGGGGAGUGUCCCCGCCGUUGUUCGAUGCCGCGACGUGUGGGGCGGCGGUGUCUUGCCCGUCUGCCCAUCCGUCGCCGGCGUCUCUGGCUGAGUUCAUGUGGUACAGCGCUGGGGUGCUUAUACGAAUGUCAACCUUCUCCACGUGGCUGACGCUCAUUGGGUCGAUGCAAACCACGCUGCUGUGGCUGCUGACGGGCACCUUUGCAGUGCUUUCGCCGUACACGCUGGUUGCCCAGGACUUUGCAGAGAAUGAGUUCUUCUUUGCCUUUCUCCGCUUGCACGGAGGUGGCUUCUGGCGGACGCUGCUUGAAGUGCCUCUGCUUGUCGCGGUGUACACGGUCACCGUUGGCUUUGGCGCGUUUGCCGGUCUCCAUCACCUAUUCCCAGAGACGCUGCCCAAGUCCCUGACGUACCUGCCCCUCUACUCUCCCGAGAAGCAGGACAUGCACUUCCACUUCCUGUACUGCUGGUUGAGCAUUCUGAAGCGGCUGCACACGCUAGUGCGGCGGUGGCUCUCGAACUGUUUCCUCUACUCCAACGACAACACUCCCGAGAUGCGGCAGCGAGGUAGUCAGGUGGUGGAGCGCGCCGCCUACGCCGUCUGUUUGGUGGGCGCCAACAUGCUCAUAGGGGCAGCGGUGGAGUGGGCCUCGUGGAAUGUGUGGUUUCCCUUUUUCGGCUUCGCCUUCAGCAUCGUGCGUGUCCUUCAACAUGGUGGAAACUUAAACGCCGCGUUUCCGCAGCUGCGUCGCGGCGCGCAGAACUUGAAGAUGCAGGCGGUCAUGCUGUGUUUCUACGGGGUCUCGGUAGACUUCACCAGAGUCGAUACCUGCAUGUGCCGGCGGCUCGUGCGCGUCAAAUCGAGUCGAAUGGUGCCCGAGCUGCGGCAGAGAGCUGGCGAGAAGAACGACACGUCGCUGUUGUUGUUUUUGUCGUCACUCGCCGAUUUCCCCGGUGACGGUGUGGUCGUGUGCUCGCGCGACACGCUGCGACGCCUUACCACGGAAACCGCGCAGUACCUGGCCACACUCCCCCGCUUGAGUGCUGCCGCCAUCCUUGCCGUGGCUGCACCGCUGGUGGUGUGCUCGCAGUGGCACCUGAACUACGUGGAUCGUCUUGCCGCAGACUACGUUGCUUUGCCGUUCUGGUUCUGCUUGCUGCUCCGCUGGGCAACGGGUGCGCUCGCCGUAACGGUGUGGGUGCUUGCUGAGGGUGUACUCCUGCGCACCUCCCUCUUUCAUCGCUGCCUCGAGUACGCGCCGCAGCUGAUUCAAGGGCCCCCGUCUCUGGAAGCGGUUCACGCGGUUUUGCUGCCUUCUGUCCUUCACGGCGGCCUCGUGCGAUUCGUUAUCGGGGCGCUCACCUGUCUCUCCGACGGCAAUCUGCUUCCUACGUUCGGGCAGAUGUCGGUUCUUGCAGCACUACUGCUUCUCGGCCUCUCACAUCGCACGAUGCAGCUGACGAACGCCGACUGGGGCAGGCUUGCUCGCUUUCAGAUACACCACAUUAUCAUUCCGCUGCUGCCAGGGCACGUGGCCCCGCCUGCGCCUCCAGAUCCUACAGGCGACGCUGCCCAGCCAGUCGCUCGCAAUGAAGACGACGGCGCAGCACUGCCGCCGCAGGAGCCACAGAUGCAACAAGCGCCACAGCCACCGCCUGCGCACGACGUCGCCGCACCAAAGCCGCAGCGGGCUGCUCGCCUGCGCGCGCGCUUUGCUCGCUGGAUGGCGUCGCAGACUGCCAGCGAUGUCGUACUUGUUGCCUACCCGCGAUCGCCAGCCCCACAGAGCGCGCUUACCGGAUCGUGAUGCGAAUUCUCACGCCUCAAGUGUGUCGAAGGUGGUUCCAAAAAGAGUUUGUCCUACACGAUCCCUCGGUCCAGUGCUAUCGUCUUUUUUCCCCCUCGCAUACUGCGCGCGCUCAUUUGGCAAGCUCGCUGUACCACUUCGCCGUGGUGCUGGCAUCCAAAAAAAAAAAAACUGUAGACCCACCACUGCCAUCAGCACGUCAGAGAAACAUACCCCCCACUCCGUCCGCCUUGAAACGGACGAAACGUGCCCCGGCUGCAUGCGCAGCAACUGCCGCCCACCGCCGUCCCCACGGCGACCCCAAACAAUCGCCCACGCACCCAUCCCACCCCCACCCCCCUUCCACUCACGCCCAAGCGCCCACCGAGACACCCCCCUCCCCCUUCCGCCAAGGGAAGAGGGGGGGGGGGCGCGUCUGCCGUGCUGGGGCUCCCCUUCCUCGCGGCGGCCCGGGGGUGGGGCGUGGGCUUCCGCUGCAUGGCGCCGGCGGCUUCGCCACGGGCCGGCACGCAACACCCAAGCCCGACACCCCCACCGGCGAGCACGCGCCAUCGCAACAAGCAGGAUAGCCCGCACGCCCAUAACCCCCAAGGAACGCCUUUGGCCACCGCGGUCGCGCGUCGCGCUCGCAACAAACGCCAGCGUCGAGACAACCGGUGCAACGCCUCCCUGCCCACCACUUCUGCGAGGUCAUCUGAGAAUUCACUUCCCCAUGCAGCGGGCCGAACGCAUAAAGCGCUCGUUGCCCUUCCCACUUCAUCAUCUCGAUAUUCUUCACCACCGCGGCAACCUCCUGCCGCUAGCCUGUGCCCACGGAUGCCUCUCCUUGACCGAAACUCUUCUCUUGAUUAUUCUCUCUUUCUUGCCCCGAAACAG
rnacentral:misc_RNA from 1 species